UUAUCCUGGCUCAGAGCGAACGCUGGCGGCAGGCCUAACACAUGCAAGUGCGAACGAACUCUUCGGAGUUAGUGGCGGACGGGUGAGUAACACGUGGGAACGUGCCUUUAGGUUCGGAAUAACUCAGGGAAACUUGAGCUAAUACCGGAUGUGCCCUUCGGGGGAAAGAUUUAUCGCCUUUAGAGCGGCCCGCGUCUGAUUAGCUAGUUGGUGAGGUAAAGGCUCACCAAGGCGACGAUCAGUAGCUGGUCUGAGAGGAUGAUCAGCCACAUUGGGACUGAGACACGGCCCAAACUCCUACGGGAGGCAGCAGUGGGGAAUCUUGCGCAAUGGGCGAAAGCCUGACGCAGCCAUGCCGCGUGAAUGAUGAAGGUCUUAGGAUUGUAAAAUUCUUUCACCGGGGACGAUAAUGACGGUACCCGGAGAAGAAGCCCCGGCUAACUUCGUGCCAGCAGCCGCGGUAAUACGAAGGGGGCUAGCGUUGCUCGGAAUUACUGGGCGUAAAGGGAGCGUAGGCGGACAUUUAAGUCAGGGGUGAAAUCCCGGGGCUCAACCUCGGAAUUGCCUUUGAUACUGGGUGUCUUGAGUAUGAGAGAGGUGUGUGGAACUCCGAGUGUAGAGGUGAAAUUCGUAGAUAUUCGGAAGAACACCAGUGGCGAAGGCGACACACUGGCUCAUUACUGACGCUGAGGCUCGAAAGCGGGGGGAGCAAACAGGAUUAAAUACCCU
rnacentral:rRNA from 1 species